CCCCGCCAUACUCCCUGCCUGGCUACUGGGUAAUCAGUGUUUUAUUCAUCAACAAAUAAGAGAAGCAUACAUACAUAAGGACAUCCACCAUCAUCUCUUUUCUGUCUAAAUAAAAAGAAAGAUUUUAUAUAUAACAAAACAGUUAUCAAGUAAGAACUACAGUUAACAAUACUUAGUUCCAUUAGCAUUUGGCAAAAUUUAAAGAAAAUAUUCUAUUAUCUAUCUUAUCUUUGUGAGUCUAAAGUUUAAUAGGUCGCUUAUCUUUUAUCAUAACUAAGAAAAACCCUAACCACAACUCUCUGUUUUCAACUCCAUCAAAGACUUCAGAAGGAUAAUUUAUAUACUCUAGAACUGAGAAACAUCUAGCUGCAUGGACAGUCACCCAAAGUCCCAUUGGGGCAUUCAUCUUCAGCCCAUAGGGGUUUUUGUCUAGCAGAUUUCUCAGUAAAGCAGGAAAUUUCAAACUAUCCUGCCUGUAUUGGCCUUUGGUCAGUCAUUUUUCUCUGUGUUCUGCAGAAUAUCUGGCAGACUCUUCCAUGAAGCAGGAACUCUGAAGGACUGUCCCAUCUUGUUUUGGCAAAUUCAGCAGUCACUUUCCUGUGGGUCUUGCAUGUCCACUUUAUACAACAUUUAGUCAAACAGUCCAGGCAAGAGCACUAUCUUGGAUGCUGGAUCACCUGGGACACUGCUUCAGGGGGAAUUUGCCUGAUCAAACCAUAUCAGUCUAGAAGGAAUUCACAGCUUUUCAUCCUCUGUGGAAACAAAAACAGAACCUCUUUUCCAAAGUAACAGGUCCUUAGACUUAAAUUUUGAACUCAAGGCAUUUUCAAAAUAUAUAGGUUGGGUUAAUCCAGCAGCAUUUAUAAUCAAAUGUCUUUUAGCACCUGUUGCUCCUUCCUCAGUAACAAUUCAAAGAAAAUACAACAACACACAGUAUGCAGACUCUCUGUGUAUUUUCCAUCCCUUACGUGGCUUUUAUUACCACAUAACUAGGGUGAUUUUACUUUAUUCAACUCUAAUGAAUAGAGUUCAUGUAGAAAAAAUGAUCAUGGCCAUCUUCCUGUGCCAGAUAACAUAAGCAAUGAAGAACCAUUGCUUAACCCAUGUGUUCUGCCAUGAACUUGGUUGUAGACUGUUGAGGGAAAUAUACUGCUAACUUAUCUUUGAGUUUGGCCAGGCACAGUGGAAAGAAAGACCUUCCCAGGCCCCUCCACAGAGAGAGAUUCUAAGCCUAAGAACUUAGAGCACCAUCUCUAACUAGGAGUCCCUUACAUAACUUAGUCACAUGCCCUGUCCAGCCCAAUUGAGCCAGACACUUGGUGGUGGGGGUUUGGGGGAGUGUACCCCUCUAUCUUUCUUUAAACAAGCCUUUCAUGGUUGUUUAACACCUCCACUAAGGUGGCAGUGCUGGGAAGUGUUAGUUCAGGUGUGGUAGCACACUCACAACCUCAGCACUUGGGAGGCAAAUGCAGAAGGAUUGCCACAGGUUCAAAGCCACCCUGGGCUACAUAGUUAGACUCUGCCUCAAAGAAAAAGUGUCAGGAAGGCAUGGAAGGACAGAGGACCUCCCAGAGAAAGGUAAGGUGUUUUAGAAUAUUAUUUUAACUAGUCAAAGAUGUAACUUGAAUUCUAAUAGGUCCUAAAAGUAAAAACUUGAAGAUAGCAAAGUAAAUGCUGAAAGAUCAGAGAAGUAGAGGAGACAGCCACAGCCACUUCUUACCUCAACAGCUUCUCAGACCGAAAGGAGGUGGGGGAGUUCC
rnacentral:lncRNA from 1 species